rnacentral:lncRNA from 1 species
CGCAACCGCAACCGCCUCCUCCCUCCUCCACCUCAUCGACCCUAAACGCCAAAACCCUUCCUCCAAAUCCGACCGCAUCGGCCUUUCCUCUUCCUAAGAGGCCCCAUGGAAGUCGAAGUCAAGCUCCGCCUCCUCACCGCCGCCGCUCACCUCCGCCUCACCACUCUCCUCACUCCCUUCCACCUCAAAACCCUCCACCAGCGCAACCUCUUCUUCGACACGCCCCAGAACGACCUCU